CCUACGGGUGGCUGCAGUGGGGAAUCUUGGACAAUGGGCGCAAGCCUGAUCCAGCCAUGCCGCGUGAGUGAUGAAGGCCCUAGGGUUGUAAAACUCUUUCGUGGGGGACGAUAAUGACGGUACCCCAAGAAGAAGCUCCGGCUAACUUCGUGCCAGCAGCCGCGGUAAUACGAAGGGGGCUAGCGUUGUUCGGAUUUACUGGGCGUAAAGCGCGUGUAGGCGGGCUGGAAAGUUGGGGGUGAAAUCCCGAGGCUCAACCUCGGAACUGCCUCCAAAACUUCCAGCCUGGACUCAAGUAGAGGCAAGUGGAAUUGCGAGUGUAGAGGUGAAAUUCGUAGAUAUUCGCAGGAACACCAGUGGCGAAGGCGACUUGCUGGACUUGUACUGACGCUGAGACGCGAAAGCGUGGGGAGCAAACAGGAUUAGAUACCCCUGUAGUC
rnacentral:rRNA from 1 species